UACGAAGGGGGCGAGCGUUGUUCGGAUUUACUGGGCGUAAAGGGCGCGCAGGCGGCUAUCCAAGUCAGGCGUGAAAGCCCCGGGCUUAACCUGGGAGGUGCGUCUGGGACUGGGUGGCUAGAGUUCGGGAGAGGAGAGUGGAAUUCCCAGUGUAGAGGUGAAAUUCGUAGAUAUUGGGAAGAACACCAGUGGCGAAGGCGGCUAACUGGUCCAGAUCUGACGCUGAGGUGCGAAAGCGUGGGGAGCAAACAGG
rnacentral:rRNA from 1 species